UACAGAGGUGGCAAGCGUUGUUCGGAAUUACUGGGCGUAAAGGGCGCGUAGGCGGCCUCCUAAGUCGGACGUGAAAGCCCCAGGCUUAACCUGGGAACUGCGUCCGAUACUGGGAGGCUUGGAUUCGGGAGAGGGAUGUGGAAUUCCAGGUGUAGCGGUGAAAUGCGUAGAUAUCAGGAAGAACACCCGUGGCGAAAGCGGCUCUCUGGAACGGUACUGACGCUGAGACGCGAAAGCGUGGGGAGCGAACAGG
rnacentral:rRNA from 1 species